GAUGAACGCUAGCGGCAGGCCUAACACAUGCAAGUCGAGGGGCAGCACGAAUUAGCUUGCUAAUUUGGUGGCGACCGGCGCACGGGUGCGUAACGCGUAUGCAACCUACCUUAUACAGGAGUAUAGCCCGGAGAAAUUCGGAUUAAUCCUCCAUGGUACUGAGACACCGCAUGGUGCUUCAGUUAAAGCUUCGGCGGUAUAAGAUGGGCAUGCGUCCUAUUAGCUAGAUGGUAAGGUAACGGCUUACCAUGGCUACGAUAGGUAGGGGCCUGAGAGGGUGGUCCCCCACACUGGGUACUGAGAUACGGGCCAGACUCCUACGGGA
rnacentral:rRNA from 1 species